rnacentral:rRNA from 1 species
CCUACGGGCGGCUGCAGUGGGGAAUAUUGGACAAUGGGGGGAACCCUGAUCCAGCCAUGCCGCGUGUGUGAAGAAGGCCCUCGGGUUGUAAAGCACUUUCAGUGAGGAAGAACGCCUGGUGGUUAAUACCCAUCAGGAAAGACAUCACUCACAGAAGAAGCACCGGCUAACUCCGUGCCAGCAGCCGCGGUAAUACGGAGGGUGCGAGCGUUAAUCGGAAUUACUGGGCGUAAAGCGCGCGUAGGUGGCUUGAUAAGCCGGUUGUGAAAGCCCCGGGCUCAACCUGGGAACGGCAUCCGGAACUGUCCAGCUAGAGUGCAGGAGAGGAAGGUAGAAUUCCCGGUGUAGCGGUGAAAUGCGUAGAGAUCGGGAGGAAUACCAGUGGCGAAGGCGGCCUUCUGGACUGACACUGACACUGAGGUGCGAAAGCGUGGGUAGCAAACAGGAUUAGAUACCCUUGUAGUC